rnacentral:rRNA from 1 species
UACGUAGGGGGCAAGCGUUGUCCGGAUUUAUUGGGCGUAAAGAGCGUGUAGGCGGUUUGGUAGGUCCGUUGUGAAAACUCGAGGCUCAACCUCGAGACGCCGAUGGAAACCAUCAGACUAGAGUAUUGCAGGGGAGACUGGAAUUCCUGGUGUAGCGGUGAAAUGCGCAGAUAUCAGGAGGAACACCGAUGGCGAAGGCAGGUCUCUGGGCCACUACUGACGCUG